CCUACGGGCGGCAGCAGUGGGGAAUAUUGGACAAUGGGGGCAACCCUGAUCCAGCCAUGCCGCGUGUGUGAAGAAGGCCCUCGGGUUGUAAAGCACUUUCAGUGAGGAAGAACGCCUGGUGGUUAAUACCCAUUAGGAAAGACAUCACUCACAGAAGAAGCACCGGCUAACUCCGUGCCAGCAGCCGCGGUAAUACGGAGGGUGCGAGCGUUAAUCGGAAUUACUGGGCGUAAAGCGCGCGUAGGUGGCUUGAUAAGCCGGUUGUGAAAGCCCCGGGCUCAACCUGGGAACGGCAUCCGGAACUGUCAAGCUAGAGUGCAGGAGAGGAAGGUAGAAUUCCCGGUGUAGCGGUGAAAUGCGUAGAGAUCGGGAGGAAUACCAGUGGCGAAGGCGGCCUUCUGGACUGACACUGACACUGAGGUGCGAAAGCGUGGGUAGCAAACAGGAUUAGAUACCCGUGUAGUC
rnacentral:rRNA from 1 species